rnacentral:rRNA from 1 species
AGUGAACGCUGGCGGCGUGCUUAACACAUGCAAGUCGAGCGAAGUGGCAGCUGUAGCAAUACAGUAUGUGCUUAGCGGCAGACGGGUGAGUAACACGUAGACAAUCUACCUUCUAGAGGGGGAUAGCCCGCCGAAAGGCGGGGUAAUACCGCGUAAGAUUGAGACCUGGCAUCGGGACUUAAUGAAACGUCCGCAAGGACGGCUAGAAGAGGAGUCUGCGGCCUAUCAGCUAGUUGGCGGGGUAAUGGCCACCAAGGCAACGACGGGUAUCCGACCUGAAAGGGUGACCGGACACACUGACACUGAGACACGGGUCAGACUCCUACGGGAGGCAGCAGUCGGGAAUUUUGGGCAAUGGGCGAAAGCCUGACCCAGCAACGCCGCGUGAAGGAUGAAAUCCCUCGGGAUGUAAACUUCGCAAGAAUAGGAAGAAUAAAGGAGGGGUUAAUAACCCUUUGAUGACGGUACUAUUUGUAAGCUCCGGCUAACUCCGUGCCAGCCGCCG